CCCCUCAAGCGUAGCUGGUAUUGGACGGUCGCGGGCCCUCUUUGGGGGGCCUGCGCGUCCGAAAAACAGUGGCGGUCCCCGGGGGUUUCGCGCGUAGUAAAUAUUCUCCCGCGUUGGAAAGAACCGAUGGGCCCUGCCAAAACCCCCCAUAAAUUUUCAUGAUUGACCUCGGAUCAGGUAGGGAUACCCGCUGAACUUAA
rnacentral:misc_RNA from 1 species